UUGGAUUUUCACAAGAAAAAUUUUGUACUUUCUCUUGAGAGAGAGAAUAGUACAUGUUUUUCCUCAAACAAACGAUCACAACUAAAUAGCUGUGUGAAGCAAAAAGGAGAAUUGGGAGAAUUGGAAAAGUGUUUGCCUGAUAAUCAAGUGAUUUGGAUUGGAGAAAGAAAUA
rnacentral:misc_RNA from 1 species